GCGGGAUAGCUCAGCUGGAGAGCAGAGGACUGAAAA
rnacentral:tRNA from 1 species